rnacentral:rRNA from 1 species
UACGAAGGGGGCUAGCGUUGCUCGGAAUGACUGGGCGUAAAGGGCGCGUAGGCGGCUUGCACCGUCAGAUGUGAAAUUCCUGGGCUUAACCUGGGGGCUGCAUUUGAUACGUGUGGGCUUGAGUGCGGAAGAGGGUCGUGGAAUUCCCAGUGUAGAGGUGAAAUUCGUAGAUAUUGGGAAGAACACCGGUGGCGAAGGCGGCUCACUGGCCCGAAACUGACGCUCAGGCACGACAGCGUGGGGAUCAAACAGG